GAAAGCAGAAGAAUCAGAACUUCAAGGUGAGAGUUUUUUUUUUUUUUUUUAAUUUUAUUUAUUUUAUUAUUAUAUGUAAGUACACUGUAGCUGUAUUCAGACACACCAGAAGAGGGAGUCAGAUCUUGUUACGGAUGGUUGUGAGCCACCAUGUGGUUGCUGGGAUUCGAACUCUGGACCUUCGGAAGAGCAGUCGGGUGCUCUUACCCACUGAGCCAUCUCACCAGCCCCAAGGUGAGAGUUUUAAGAUCAGCCUGGAUGACUAGAAUAGGAAGAUACCCUGGCACCACCAGAGAGCAACUCCAGUUACAGACCACCCUGGAUAAACCUUCCCUAUGUUUCCCUGUUGCUACCAUCUCUUAUCAAACGGACCAGCAAGAAUGAAAAGCUUGCCAGGUAUGGGAGGCCGCAGACAGAGGCGACAUGGAAGGACCAAGAAGUGGGUAGAUUGUGACUUGCAAGAGAGAAUUAUUUUGAACCAAGUCUUGCGUGCUGACAGCAUAAUGAUCAUUAUUAGGGCCUCAGAUAUAACAUGAAGUCCGCCCUAAAGUUAAAUUUUCCCUUUCAGAUAAGCAUGGCCUGUCAGCGUUGUAUAAAAUGGUUCUACGCCAACCUCCUCCAUACCAUGGGAUUGGAAUGUUCCAGCUACUCCCCCACCCUCCGCCCCCAGUUACCAUUCCCAAAGGCCUUUGCUUCUCUCUUACCUUAGUCUUCUAAAAAAAUCAACCUAAGAGAUUGAGUAGUGGUAUGCAUGACUUUAGUCCUAGCACUCAGGAAACAGGCAGGCAGAUCUCUGUGAGUUCGAUGUCAGCCAGGGCUACAGAGUGAGUUCCAGGCCAGCCAGGGCUACACAGAGAAACCCUGUCUCAAAACAAAACAACAACAACACAAGAGAUAAGCAUCACCUAUACUAGUUUCUUCUCAUAGUUAGAUUCAGGUUUUUGGUCUGGAAUCCUGCCACUCCAGGGACCCCGUGGAUUUUGUUUGACUAUUACAGUAUUUUGAAACUUGGUUUUGCUUUGUUUUUGUUUUCCAUUAAAUACUGUUUGCUGGGUUUUGAUGAA
rnacentral:lncRNA from 1 species